UACGUAGGUGGCAAGCGUUGUCCGGAAUUACUGGGUGUAAAGGGCGUGUAGGCGGGUAUGCAAGUCAGAUGUGAAAUUCCUCUGCUCAACGGAGGCGCUGCAUCUGAAACUGUAUAUCUUGAGUACUGGAGACGAAAGCAGAAUUCCUAGUGUAGAGGUGAAAUGCGUAGAUAUUAGGAGGAACUCCAGUGGCGUAGGAGGCUUUCUGGACAGUAACUGACGCUGAGGCGCGAAAGCGUGGGGAACAAACAGG
rnacentral:rRNA from 1 species